UAAGUAUAAAAAAUUGUAUACUAUGAAAAAAAAAGAAUGGGUAGGGUUAGCGGCCAUAAAUGAAGGAUUAGACUGCUAAAAGGGCAUAAAAAUGAAAUGAAAGCCGUUAAACUAUUUGAAGUUCAUAAGAAAGGUUUUAAUAUAAACCGAGCAGAACAACUGUACAACCAAAGUGAAAAGGGCAAAAAAGGGGAAUAGAAAUGAAUAAAAAACGUAAACGGAGAAGACGCAAAAGCUCAUGUAAUAAAACUUUGAAGGUCGAAAAAAUAAUUUGCAGUCGUUUGACGUUAUAAUAAAUGAAACUCAAGAUCCUUUGUACUUGCAACUCACGUUUCAAUAAUGCGUAAAGUUAAUAAAGUGAUUCACUCAUUUUCAUUCAUAUUUACAUCAGAAGCUGACCCAGAAUCGCUAUUAUCUCUCUCUAAAUCACUCUCUGUACCACUGCUUUCAAGUUCAUCUCUUUUCAAGGGCUUAGCCAUAGCAAAAUAAUGUUUCUUUCGAAGUUCGUUGAAGUCCGGUUUCUUUUUAGGAAUGUUCUCUUCAGCUUCAGAUAAAGCCUCCUCUUCCAUUGCUUCGUCUUCUCCUAGAAUUACUCCUUCAUUAUACAUUUUAUCAGCAUGAUCAGAAUCUUUACCUAGGUUAUUCACAGAAGGAUGAGUACGUAAAUGGUCGUCAGGAUUAUUAAUUCUGGCAUGAACUACUUCAACUUGGGGUUUUGUUUCCCUCGGAAAUAGUUCUUUUUUACUUGGUAAAUGAUUAUCUGUAGAGUACUUUGGUGUUGGAGCCUUCAUACGGACGGUGUACCUAUCACCCGAAGUAGUCGGUUCAGUACAAGGAACCGGGAAAGGUUCCUUUUUGACAUAAAAUUGUUUCUUGUCGCUCGAAAAGGAGACAUUGUCAUCUUUAGAAUCUUUUGACACCCGGGUACUGGGAAGAGUGCCGAGUGUGUCACCCAAAGUUCCAGCAGUAAAGUCGUCCUUACUGUCAGUUUCAUCCAAAUUGAUUUCAGGAACUUCAUCAUCUGGAAGCAAAAAGCGUUGAAAAGGAGUUUUCGGUUCGGUAAUUUUCAUUUUCGCUGACUUCUGCUGUUCAGCUUUUGAAAGAUUUUCCUCAUCCCAACGAAGACGACGAAUUCUUUCUUCCGAUGGAGUUCCUGUGCCCGAGCAAUCACUCUCAUUCAUAUCAAUUGAAGGUGUUGAUGAGACCAUAUUUUGUUGUUGGCCACUUUCCAUUGAGUCAGUCUCAAGUGAGGG